UUAGGAAGGGCAUCCAGCUGUAGAAACCAAGCCAAACCAGACUGCAGCAUGGUACAGCUCUCCUGCUUACCAGUUUCCAGUCAAACCAUCUAACUCAUGCCAGCAUGGAAAGCAGAUCCAAAAUGAUCAUUAUAUAUAUAUAUAU